CAACCCAUGCAGUGAUGUAUGGCUGAACCUUGAGAAGUCAGCAGAGGUCAUUGUACCGAGAUAGAUGCAUAUAUCUUGGGAAGGAC
rnacentral:ncRNA from 1 species